CACACGUGCUAUUCUUCUGCCAAGUGGCACCUGCACAUCUUACAGGGAAUCGCCAGUGGUUUCACCCUCCCUGCAUCUCAGCAGGUGACAAUAGCACGGUAACUGCCACUCAGUGCCACCAUUUGGCAUCUCCCUGAAACCACAAAGCCACAUAACAGCAUUCCCAGUCUACAAGUAAGAUCCAUGAGGGUGAAAUCCUAACCUGUCCGGAG
rnacentral:lncRNA from 1 species